AUGUGGGUUGUUAAUAGUAAUGUAUUUCUGAUUCUGACUUCAUCCAGAUUAAGUACUUCAACAAUGGAUUUUGUACGUUAUAUAUCCUAUGCUUUUAAAUAAGUGAAAUUUAGAAUCCUAUGUUCAUCUAUGUAUAUAUGUUCAUCUAUGUAUAACUGCAUGCUAUUGAAAUUGUCAAUGUGUAGAGCUUGGCAUUCUAUGGACAACUUUUUGACCUUUUCCUUUUUUUAGGAGGCUCGGAUCGUUUGAACAUUCUCUAAAGUUCGCUAUUGUACUUUUAAGGUAGGUGUUAACAAAUUAUGUUUUAUGCCUUAUUGAAGUUUUGUUUAUUUCUUUUGUGGUUUACUAAAUUUUUCUUAACUUUCCGUCUGGAUAUGCAUACAUGUUAGACGUUAAUACUAUUAUCGUGUUUACUAUUUAUUAUUCUGGUCAUUCGUCUGGUUAUGCAUACAUGUUAGAGGUUAAUACUAUUGUCAUGUUACUGUUAUGAUAUUUUUAGUUGUAUUUUAAGAUGUCAUCAUCACGUAAGCGUACUAGCCCCCCCCCCCAGUAAGCUACGCCCUUGAUGACAUUUAUGACCAAACCCCAUGCAUGCCAACGCAUAAUGCUUUUAGUUUCAUGUCAGUUAUAAAAUAGAAAAAAAAACACACUUUUAUUACAUUAAUGUCUCUUUCUACAUAUUAUGUUAGCUCUGGCAUUUUACUCAAAAUGUUGAAAUAGUCAAAUAUAAAGCACGUCAGGCGCGCGCCUAGGCGCUCGGGCGCAGCAGGCGAGCCUAUAGCGCCUGGUGGUAGCUUAGGCGCAAACAUGGGCUUUUUUUGUAAAAGCGGUGCUCAGGCGCGCGCCCCGGACUAAGGCGCGCUAAGGCGUAACGAGUAAAAAGCGCGGGCUUAAUUCUAUCAGAGUUUUUUUACAGCUGUAAACCAUAUUUUUUAAUGUUAUUUUUAAAGUUUUUAAACUUUUGGUACUAACUAUUAGCUACAUGAUCUUAAAUGGCAUAUAUAAUAGUUUUUUUAUACGUGGAAUCUUAUUUAUUUUCAAAGCAUAACAUAUUUUUAUAUUUUUUUCUCUAUGUGCGCUUUUCUUAAAAAAGCCCAUACUUUUUUUGCGCCUUGCGUCUAGGCUCCGGGCGAGGCCUAUGCGCCUCGCCUUGCGUCUUUGACAACAUGGCACUUAUAGGGUUCCAAAGUUCAUUGAUCUUCAUUUUGUUUACAACAGAUUCAUGAGAAAAUAGAAGACAGCUGGGAUGGGAAGAGAUAAUCAAGAAGGGUGGAUAUAUCAGCUUAUCCGGGAUCAGGUGCGAAUGAUCGUUAUAUGCUAAUGCCUUGACAAGGGAUCUGUUGAGUUUCACAUAACUUUAUAUAACUAAUACCUGGAAAAUAUUGAAUAUGCAACCAUCUAUGUACAUUCUAUCAAACACAUAAUAUACUUGGAUUUUCUUUUAUUGUAUGUGCCUAAAUAAUGGCUAACUUGGUU
rnacentral:lncRNA from 1 species